GACGAACGCUGGCGGCGUGCUUAACACAUGCAAGUCGAACGGUAAGGCCCCAGCUUUCUGGGGUACACGAGUGGCGAACGGGUGAGUAACACGUGGGUGACCUGCCCCUCACUUCGGGAUAAGCCUGGGAAACUGGGGCUAAUACCGGAUACGACCUCACCGUGCGCGUGGGGUGGAAAGUUUUUCGGUGUGGGAUGGCCCCGCGGGUUAUCAGCUCGUUGGUGGGGUAAUGGCCUACGAAGGCGGCGACGGGUAGCCGGCCUGGGAGGGUGGACGGCCACAUUGGGCCUGAGACACGGCCCAGACUCCUACGGGAGGCAGCAGUGGGGAAUAUUGCACAAUGGGCGGGAGCCUGAUGCAGCGACGCCGCGUGGGGGAUGACGGCCUUCGGGUUGUAAACUCCUUUCACCAUCGACGAAGGUUUUCUGACGGUAGAUGGAGAAGAAGCACCGGCUAACUACGUG
rnacentral:rRNA from 1 species